rnacentral:rRNA from 2 species
GGGUUGUGAGGUUAAGCGACUAAGCGUACACGGUGGAUGCCCUGGCAGUCAGAGGCGAUGAAGGACGUGCUAAUCUGCGAUAAGCGCCGGUAAGGUGAUAUGAACCGUUAUAACCGGCGAUUUCCGAAUGGGGAAACCCAGUGUGAUUCGUCACACUAUCAUUAACUGAAUCCAUAGGUUAAU